rnacentral:rRNA from 1 species
UACAGAGGUCCCAAGCGUUGUUCGGAUUCAUUGGGCGUAAAGGGUGCGUAGGCGGCGCGGUAAGUCGGGUGUGAAAUCUCGGAGCUUAACUCCGAAACUGCAUUCGAUACUGCGGUGCUUGAGGACUGGAGAGGAGACUGGAAUUCGAUGGUGUAGCAGUGAAAUGCGUAGAGAUCAUGAGGAAGACCAGGUGGCGAAGGCGGGUCUCUGGACAGUUCCUGACAGCUGAGG